AAACCGGGAAGCUAAUACCGGAUAAUAUAUUGAACCGCAUGGUUCAAUAGUGAAAGACGGUUUUGCUGUCACUUAUAGAUGGAUCCGCGUCGCAUUAGCUAGUUGGUAAGGUAACGGCUUACCAAGGCAACGAUGCGUAGCCGACCUGAGAGGGUGAUCGGCCACACUGGAACUGAGACACGGUCCAGACUCCUACGGGAGGCAGCAGAG
rnacentral:rRNA from 1 species